rnacentral:rRNA from 1 species
GUCCACGCCUUAAACGAUGAAUACUAGACGUUGGGGUUAAACUCAGUGUCGCAGCUAACGCAUUAAGUAUUCCACCUGGGGAGUACGAUCGCAAGGUUGAAACUCAAAGGAAUUGACGGGGGCCCGCACAAGCAGUGGAGCAUGUGGUUCAAUUCGAUGCAACGCGAAGAACCUUACCUGGGCUUGACAUGUAAGCUAAGGCGAAUGAAAGUUCGCGUCCCGCAAGGGGAGCUUAUACAGGUGCUGCAUGGCUGUCGU